rnacentral:lncRNA from 1 species
AGUUGCAAGGCUUUCAACAAAAGCCUGGAGAUACAUGAAAUAUUAUAUUGAGAUGGGGCCUUACUAUGUUUACACGGCUGGAUUCCACCUUCUGGACUCAAGCUAUCCUCCUGCCUCAGCCCCCUGAGUAGCUGGGACUAUAGGCAUACCUGAUCAUGCCCAACUUUCCUUUUUUGAAUGGGUGAAAAUUGGCCAAUUUUCAAGAUUCAGCUCCUCAAUGAAACCUAUCCUUUUUCAACCACCCAAACUGAUACUGUUUUCUUAUUUAUCUUAAUGCCAUAUUUAUAGUUGGCAUUUGUUAUCAUUCUAUCUUAUAGACAUACUAAGUGAAUGAAUAAAUGAGUGAAUGAUAAAAUGAAUGGAGGUAUUUCACAUUUAAAAAACUGAAUUAGAUCCAUUCUAUUUUAACUCUGAUCGUGACUGUUGAAAGUUAUAAAGCCAAGUCAGCUUUCAAGGUCAAAAGAAAUCAAGGUGAUGUGCAUAUUCUAACUUGCCCAUGGGCACAGCUGCUCCUGGCAGCUGUUAACAGAAACUUCAAAAAGGCUCAUUUCUAACAGAUUUGUGUGAAUUUUUUUUUUGAAAUUGAAAAUGUACAAAGGGAAGACCCAAAUUUUAAAAGGCAAAUUGAAUACGUGUCAAAAUCAGUCUUGGCAGAUACAAGAAAGCCAGUGUUUUAGUCCAUUUUGUGUUGCCAUAAAGGAAUAUUGGAGGCUGGAUAAUUUAUAAAGAAAAGAAGUUUAUUUGGCUCACGGUUCUGCAGGCUAUACAAGAAGCAUUGUGCUAGUGUCUGCUUCUGGUGAGAGCUUCAAGGAGCUUCCACUCAUUGUGGAAGGUGAAGGGGAGCAGGCAUCACAUGGUGAGAGAGGAAGAAAGCAAGAGAGGAGGAAUGUGCCAGGCUCUUUUUCUAACAACCAGCUGGAGAGAACUAAUAGAGUGAGAACUCACUCAUUGCUGCAAGUAUGGCACCAAACUACUAAUAAGGGAUCCACCCUCAUGAUCCAAACACCUCCCACUAGGCCCCACUUCCAACACUGAAGAUCUAAUUUCGACAUGAAAUUUGGAGGAAUAAAUAUCCAAUCUAUAUCAGCUAGAGAAUUCAGAACUAAUCUUGUUAAUCUGCACUGCAUUUCAUUUGGCAAUCACAUGGAGCUGCUUUGUAGAGAAGGUCAUCUCAAGCUUUAAUUACAGACAUAACACACAAGCAAUAAAUCAUUAGAAAAACAAGGUGAAUUUAGAUAGCAGGUACAACUUCUAUGCCACAACUAUCCAGAAAGAAGGAUGCUUGGUAAGAUCACGUCCAAUUUUUUUUUUUUCUCACUAGACUUGUGAGAAUAUGCUUUGUAUUAGGAACUUAAAAUCAGUUAAAUAUCACCAACAUUAUUUCCUGCUGAAAAUAAGCAGCUUAUAAAAUGAUAUUAAUUAAGCCAUAUACAGCAUCCACUAAUAUUUUGGGCACUUAUAAUAAAUAUUUCUGAAAGGAAAAUAACUUACCGAGAUAUAAAACUUGAGUACCUUUUACAAAAGCGUUGAAUGAGUUUACUGUCGGUAGUAAGCCAAAGCGAAGCACUUCUCUGUGAGCACAUGAAAACACCCAUUUGGUCUCAGUCACUCAGAGGACUGCUAUAUUGUCAGGGCUGCUAUGUUGUGAUUCAUUUGAAAGAUAAUGCACAGAAAAACUAUGACAGGAAAUUGAAGAGUACAUACAGGAAAACUACAGCAAAUUUACAAUCUCUCCAGUUAAAAAAUAACAAAACAAAGCAACAAAAAUGACUUGAAGUAGUUGGGAAAAAUGACACUACCUAUAAGUGCUGUGUGAGUACUAAGUUACACUUAGUAGAGUUCAGUUUAAUAACAUAACAUAAUAUAUUAUUUAUUGAGCUUAUAUUAUAUAUCA